UAUUUUAUUGUUCUCGAAGUCUUCUACAAAUAGUUCUUUCAAUUUUUGGAUCAAAGUCGGCAAGAAAAUUUGAAUUGUUUCGGGUCAUAAAACACCUAAAAUGAAAUUAAAAAAAAAUCAACAAAGAGAAAACAAGUUAGUGAAUACUAAAUAUUCUAUAAGGAAAACAAAGUAGAAAGACAGAAAAGAACAAAAAAAUAAACAUCAAACAAACGCCAUCCCCGACAACGAUGCCAAGAACUUGAUC
rnacentral:lncRNA from 1 species